rnacentral:rRNA from 1 species
UAGGGAAUUAUCGGCAAUGGGGGAAACCCUGACCGUGCAACGCCGCGUGAAGGAUGAAGGUCCUAUGGAUUGUAAACUUCUGUUGUCAGGAAAAAAUGAUAGCUAGAGGAAAUGCUAGUUAUUUGAUGGUACCUGACUAGAAAGUCACGGCUAACUACGUGCCAGCAGCCGCGGUAAUACGUAGGUGGCAAGCGUUAUCCGGAAUUAUUGGGUGUAAAGGGAGUGUAGGCGGUUUUACAAGUCUGAAGUCAAAGGCAGUGGCUUAACCAUUGUUCGCUUUGGAAACUGUUUAACUAGAGUACGGGAGAGGCUAAUGGAAUUUCAUAUGUAGCGGUGGAAUGCGUAGAUAUAUGAAGGAACACCAGUGGCGAAGGCGAUUAGCUGGACCGGAACUGACGCUGAGGCUCGAAAGCGUGGGGAGCAAAUA